CAACCCUCGGCCGCGCCUCUCCCCGAGGCGCGGCCGGCGUUGGGGGACGGCCGACCCCCCUUCCCGGGGGAGGCCGCCCCCGAAAUGCAGUGGCGACCCCAGCCGCGGCCCUCCCCUGCGCAGUAGACGAAGACGAAAACGUGGACCUCGCACCGGAGCGCGGCCGGGAACCCGCCGUGAAACCCCCCGACCCCGAUCCCCAUCGGAAA
rnacentral:misc_RNA from 1 species